CUGCUGCCUCCCGUAGGAGUCUGGUCCGUGUCUCAGUACCAGUGUGGGGGACCUUCCUCUCAGAACCCCUACGCAUCGUCGCCUCGGUGGGCCGUUACCCCGCCGACUAGCUAAUGCGACGCAUGGCCAUCCUAUGCCGGAGUCGCCUCCUUUGACCCCCUGGAGAUGUCUCCAAAUGGUGUUAUGCGGUAUUAGACGGAAUUUCUUCCGCUUAUCCCCCUGCACUAGGGCAGGUUCCAUACGUGUUACUCACCCGUGCGCCGG
rnacentral:rRNA from 1 species